AGGUUUGAUUCUAGCCUCAGUUUCAGUUAAGAUAUAAUAUUACACAUGCCAGCCACAGCGAUCCCGUGAAUAGUAAAUAAUGAAUAAUCUAAAAGCAUCAUUAACACUACGAUAAUAAAUCUAACUAAACAAAAUUAUAUUUCACGCCUGCAGUGUAGAAUUCUGCCCCAGCUCUUCCAUAGGCUACGGAUAAUAUCAUUAGUACUGAUCAAAUUCGUGCCAGCAAUCGCGGUUAGACGAUAAGUACAAACUGAAAAAAUUGGGCCAGUUUAGACAUAAAUAUAAUCAUAAGUGGUACAAUAUGAAUAGAAACACUAAAUUAAUAUAUGUCACAAACAACGAAAGAGUGAAUCAAAACAAGGAUUAGAUACCCUUCUAUUCCACUCUGUUAAAUAAUGCCCGGGCACUACGAGCACAAGCUUAAAACCCAAAGAAAUUGGCGGCAUCUUACGCUACUAGGGGAGUCUGUUUAUUAAAUCGACAAUCCACGCUUAAACCUCUCUUACACUAGAAAUCAGUUUGUGUACUGCCGUCGAAAGCUAACCUUACAAAAGAAGUUAGCACACCGAUAAGCCCCAUCAUUACGUCAGGUCAAUGUGCAACCCAUGUGUAAGCUAAAAUGGACUACAAUAAAUAUACAACUAGCCUAACCAUUUAAAAACGGUUAGAAAAAUGGACUUAGUAGUAAACUAAAAAUAAAAUAUAUAAUUGAAUACGCAAUUUAAGAUGUGCACACAUCGCCCGUCACUCUCGCCGAAAGGGGAGAUAAGUCGUAACAUAGUAGGUGUAACUGAAGUUGUACCUU
rnacentral:ncRNA from 1 species